rnacentral:misc_RNA from 1 species
AAAAAAAAAAAAAGUGAGAUAUUCAACAUCCAUAGUAACGGGGAAACAAAGAGCAUCCUUGUCAAUCUCCUUUUUCUACUCAGGCAGAAUGAUGACUUGAAAUAAUACAUUGUAAUAAUUAUAUUCCAAUCUCUAUAUAAGCAUACAUGGAUUAUAAUUUUUGAUUCCGUAAUAGCAUAUCCUCAAAGCGUAAAUUUUACACAUCAAAAUAGAAAACCAUACAAAUAUUAGCUUCUCGAGCUUAAAAUCAAUUCCCACAAUCAGACUUGUCACUUUCAAACAUUAGAAUGUAAACAGUCCAAUCCCACAACCACGCACAUGACCAGCAAAUAGGGACUUUUUUAUUUGUUGCAGCAGAAAAUUUUCCCCAUGAAAACACAUAAAGGGAAAAAAAAUAAACUUAAUGAACAACAAUAAAGUUUGAAUCCUAAACAUGUCCCCUAACUACCAGAGAUCAUAAAAAUUAUAACUUUCGUUUACCCUCAGAAGAACAAAACAAACUGUGAAGAACACAUAAAACACAACCAAGAAAGAACCAUGAGGUCAAAAUUACCCAUACUCUUAGCUGCAUAUAUCACAUUAUCUAAACAAAUCUCAAUUACAGCAACCAUAAACUCAAUUUUCUCAAAAGAAAGUUAAGAAACAUUUAACUUUCACUACGCACGCAACAAAUAAAACAAUCUUGUAUGGUCCUAGAAGAAAACUAGCAGCUAAAAGGCACAAAAAAAAGGGUUACAAAUAUUUAUAUAUAUACAUUGAAGGGCAAAUAAACCCUAGCAUGCUUCACAGAUCGAAAAAGAACAGUAGAAAAAGAUCAAAAGUAAAAGAGAAAUGGGCAGUGAACUUACAGGAUGAGAUUGGAGAUGGAAGCGGUCAAAAAGAGCAGCCGCAGCUCAGAGAUCCGAACGAAGGACACAAGAAGAAGACGACUGGUUAUGGUUAACAUGAAUCAUAUUCUCCCCC